rnacentral:rRNA from 1 species
CAAGUCGAGCGGAGUUCAAGAGCUUGCUUUUGGACUUAGCGGCGAACGGUCGCGUAACACGUAAGCAACCUGCCCCGAAGACCGGGACAACAUUCCGAAAGGAGUGCUAAUACCGGAUGUGGCCAUCUGUGGACAUCCUCGGAUGAUUAAAUCAAGCAAUUGGCUUCGGGAGGGGCUUGCGGCCUAUCAGCUAGUUGGUGGGGUAACGGCCUACCAAGGCGACGACGGGUAGCGGGUCUGAGAGGACGAUCCGCCGGACUGGGACUGAGAUACGGCCCAGACUCCUACGGGGGGCAGCAAUUAGGAAUCUUGCACAAUGGGGGAAACCCUGAUGCAGCGACGCCGCGUGGGUGAGGAAGGCCUUCGGGUUGUAAAGCCCAUUUACCAGGGAAGAAACAAAUGACGGUACCUGGGGAAUAAGCUCCGGCUAACUACGUGCCAGCAGCCGCGGUAAUACGUAGGGAGCGAGCGUUGUCCGAAGUUACUGGGCGUAAAGCGCGCGUAGGCGGGCUGUUAAGUGAGAGGUGAAAGGCUGGGGCUUAACCCCAUGCAGUGCCUCUCAUACUGGCGGUCUUGAGUGCGGCAGGGAGAAGUGGAAUGGCUGGUGUAGCGGUGAAAUGCGUAGAUAUCAGUCGGAACACCGGUGGCGAAGGCGGCUUCUUGGGCCUGGACUGACGCUGAGGCGCGAAAGCUGGGGGAGCGAACGGGAUUAGAUACCCCGGUAGUCCCAGCCGUAAACGAUGGAUACUAGGUGUCGGGGGUAUCGACCCCUCCGGUGCCGCAGCUAACGCAUUAAGUAUCCC